CUCAAGAGUGCCACAAAGCGGGGCUGGCGCAUCCAGCCAAUGGGAGCAGAGGCGAGGAAAUUUGGGCAAGCCGAGAGACUUCCCAGCAUGCUUUGCAGUCACAGAGCUGUUACAGCAGUCGUGGGGAGCGUUGCACGUUUGCUGCUUCGAUCUCCCGCGGAGUCGGUGAAUCCGUCGCCAUCCUCUUGCAGGAUAGUUGUCACUUGAUCAGGAAAGUCGAUGCGUCGGGCGGGUGGGGAACUCGGGAAAGGUUUGGCCGGCGUCUUCUAGGAAGUCUGUGUUGGAGGCUUGUUAGCGUAACUUUAAGGCACCAUCCAAUAUCUUAUUCAAAGGAUCGUGCAGAUUCCGACUUGCCUAGCCGGAGCUGUGAGGUUGCCGGGUAAGCUCCAAAUGUGUAGGCGGUCGCUGGUUUUUCUGGCAGCUGGUUUCCUCUCCCCCCCCAAAAAAAAGUCCAUUGGAUCUGGUACGUUGGGGUAUUAACACCGCUUUAUUGUCUGGCAAUGCUCCUGUUCGUUCAGCAGCGGCGCGAGAGGCAGCAGUGCCGUGGAUGCGGCUUUUGGAGAUGGAGCGAUCGUGGAAAUUUCACGAGGAAGCUCUGCUUGCGUUGCUACUUUCUUCUUUUUUAGUGGGCGCCUCCGGGAUUGAUUUUGGGUGCCAGGCAAGUCCAACGGGGCAGACUUGCCUAGGUAGCGCGCACGGUCCUCUGCCGACGCCGGUGGCAGAGCACGUGAUUUACGAGCCAAAGGCCCCGGGUUCGAUCCCGGGCAGCUCCAGGCAGGGCUACGAAAGAUUCCUUGCUGAACCUCGAAGAGCCGCUGCAGUGUAUCAGCCUUCCCAAACCUGGUGGAACUCCCGACUCCAGCCGGCCCCAGCUAGCACAGCCAGUGGUCAGGGAAGAUGGGAGCUGUAGUCCGACAACAUCUGGAGGGCACCAGGUUGGGGAAAGCUGAUGUCGGCAAUACUGAGCUGGAUUGACCAGAUGGGCUGGCCCGAGGCAGCUUCCUAUGCGUGUAUCUGCCUGACUUUGACGUAUCUUUUUCCUUGGCGUUUUGAGAUUUUUCCUCUCCUGUUCUUGUGGGUACGUCUGAUGAAAGGAGUUUCUUGUCUUUCUCCUGAUGCUCUUGCUUUGCUGUGCAUGCGGCUGUUAUUAUAGUGGCGGAUCUGUCUCUUUUGUGUAAAGUCAGACGUGUCUGAGUAUAUAUGUGUGUGUUGUGAUAACAGCAUGGAUGUUGUGGCUGUUGAAGUCGGCCUCAGAAUUUCUUGUUGGCUCCGGAAGACAUUGGCUAAGAGAGCCAGUGGUGGUGUAGUGGUUAGCGUGUUGGGCUGGGAGCUGGAAAAACGAGGGUUCAAAUCCCUGCUCAGCGAUGAAGCUCAUUGGGUGACCUUGGCCAGUCGCUGUCUCUCAGCCUAACCGACCUCACUGGGUUGUUGUGAGGAUGAAAUUGGGAGUGGGGACAACCAUGUUUGUAUGUCACUUUGAGCUUCACCUUGGAGGAACGGUGGGAUGAUGAUGAUGAUAAUAAAUAAAUAAUGAAAUAAGAUAGGGGUUUGGGUUUUUAACCCUGAAUGUUGUGCUGUCAGUGGUGUGCGCCUUUAAACUAUGCUUCUGAAAGAACACUGUGAUGAGGAACAUGAUGUCUGUAGGAUUGCCAAUAUCCAGACCCUGAGAGGGCUCUGGUGCUUUUAACAGCUGCAUAGAAAGGGGAGAGGGGCAGUGGCUCAUGUAGGAGUGUUGAAAAAAUGGAAGAGGCUGCAUCUAGUAAAAGUUUUCCUUCUAUGUGAUUUCUAAAGGUGCAAGAGUCUGGGGCAUAUCCAAGCACUUACCUGUUUUAUUCCAGUUCACCUGUCUCAGGGUCCCCCAGAGAAUCUUAGGAAUAGUAGUUUGAGAAUGUUGGGAAUUCCUUGCUCGCUCUGCCUCCCCACCCCCUUACCCACACUUCCAUAGGGCUCUGGUAAGCCCAGGGCUCUCUGGAAAGAUGGUGUGAUGAAUUAAGCAAGUUUGUAGUGUAGAAUUGCUGGGGUUUGUGAUUUGUAGGCUACCCUACUCCAAUGCAGCAGUAUGCAGUUGAUCAUUUAGAAUGGUCUAUUGUCAUCAAAUAAUUUUUGCUAGGCAUAAUAGAAUCUAAAAGCACCUUACAGUUACAUUUAUUAUGGACUAUUACUACUACUACUACUACAUCAUUUAUUAGUUACUUUCUUCACAAAUGUGCCUCAAGGCAAAUUACAACCACAAUAAAACAAGAACACAAUUGUAACAAACCAAUAAAUAAAACUAAAAACAUAUCAGUAAAGAUAAAAGAUAGAUCUUACAAUAGCUGCCGUGCUAAAAACCUCCCACAAAUACCUGAAGCUCUUCAAAUUGAGGGGCAAAAGCCUAGGUAAAAAACCCAACGAUUUUUGCUUGAUGCCUAGUAUCAUAGAAUCGUAGAGUGGGAAGGGGCCUAUAAGGCCAUGGAGUCCAACCCCCUACUCAAUGCGGGAAUCCAAAUUAAAACCUAAACGUAGAUAACGGCACCAGGUGUGUCUCCCCGGCGAGAACAUUCCAUAAGCAGGGAGCCACCUCUGAGAAAGCCCGUUCUCCCAUUGCCACCAUCCACACCUGUCUCAGAGGGACACAUGGAGAAGGGCCUCAGAUGAAGAAUGCAGGGUUCAGGUCGGUUUAGGUGAGGAGAGGCGGUCUUUGAGGUACUGGGGUCCUGAGCCCUAUAAGGUUUUAUAGGUCAAAACCAGCCCUUUGAAUUGAGCCAAUGGAGUCAUGCUGGAAUUGGUGUUGUAUGUUCCAGCUGUCCUGCCCCAGUCAGCAGUCUGGCUAUCAAAUUCUGUGCCACCUGCAGUUUCCGAACUGUCUCAAAGGCAGCCCCAUGUAUAACAUGUUGCAGUAAUCCAACCUAGAGGUUACCAGAAUAUAGACAACAGAAAAUAUAAAAUAUUGCUACAAAACCCAUCAAAAACCGUAUAUAUUCUGUGUCAGCAGGCAUUUUCAACUUUAUUCAUUACACUUACAUCCUGCUGUCCCUCCUGUGGUAGACGGGCCAUAGCUCAGUGGUAGAGCAUCUGCCUGUUGAAGGUCCCAGGUUCAGUCCCCAGCAUCUCCAGGGAGGGCUGGGAAUGCCCCUGCCAGAAAUCCUGAAGAGCUGCUGCCAGUCAUUGUCAACAGUAUUGAGCUAGAUGGAACACUUAUCUUACUUGGUUGAAGGCAGCUUCCUGUGUUCCUAGGAACUCAGUGUGGUCUUCCGACCCCCUCCUUCUUUUUUAACCUCACAACAACUCUAAGGGGCAGGUUAAGGCUGAAAUACAGUGAAGCGCUCAAGAUCACUCAGUGAUGCAGAGUUUACCUUUAUGCAGCAGGGUAGUUUCUGUACAUACUCACACAUUGCAAAGGGCUAGCGUUGUAUCUUCGAGUGCAUGGGUCCAUAUAAUAUGACCAGGUUCUGAUCAUAUUUCUCUCUCUCACCCAUCCCCAUUCUGAUUUAAUUCAUAUCUGGGAGCAGACUUAUAGGUCAAGGUAGUCAAUGUGGUACCCUGCUAUGGACUACACUUGCCAUCAGCCCUAGCCAGCACGGCCAGUGAUAAGAGAUAACAGGAAAUGUAGUCCAUACAUAAAGGGUAUUGUUGUUGUUGUUGUUGUUGUUGUUGUUGUUAUUAUUAUUAUUUGAUUUAUAAUCCUCCCUUUCUUCCCAGCAGCAGCCCAGGGCGGCAAACAAAAGCACUAAAAACAUUAAAACAUCAUAGAAACAAACUUUAAAACACAUUAAAACAAAACAUCUUCAAAAGCGUUACUUAAAAAAGCUAUCAAAACAUCUUCUAAGAUUAAAAGCAUUUUUAAAAAGGUUUAAGAACAUACUAAAAAAGCAAUUCCAACACAGAUGCAGGGUACCACUUUACGUAAACCUGCAAUGCAGCCUGCCUUUACCACAUUUGGCACAGAUUAUUGAAUCAUAUAGGACCGGAAAGCUGAUGACCUUAGUGGGGUGGCGGAGUGGAAGAGAAGAAGAGGCUGACCUAGGAUGGCUCAUCCAGCAUGCCUCAGCCUCUCACAGCAUUCCAUUGAAAUUAGCAUUGCAGGCUAUGAAGUGUAACGCAAGAGAGUGGGGUGUGGGAUUUGUAGUUUGCUCAUAUUUGUGGCUGGGGUAGGUGACGUGUAGAAUUUGUGAUGGAUGACGGCUCGUGGCCAGAUAUUGGAGAGAAGCUGCUGUUGUUGGACUUCAACUCCUAUCAGCCCCAGGCAGCAUGGCUAAUAGUGACAGGAAUAAUGGAAGUUGUAAUCCUGCAAUGUCUGGAGAGCCACAGGUUUCCUGCCCCUCGCCUGGACAAAAGAAUAGAUUGUGGGCCAUUGUCUAGUCAAUCAGCUAGCAUCUGCUGGUUGCUGGGAUUUUUGCCCAGAAUGCUGGAUUAGGUGGACUUUAGUCUGAUCCAGCAAAAUGACAGUUUGGUCUUCGGCAAAAGUGCAUAUUUGAGAUUAUUUAACCCUGGCUAGUGGUGCCGGUUAAAGCAACACAGUUUUGUGGCACCUUAAAGAUUAAAACUUAGCAUCUGGUGGCCACUGUGAGUACAGGAUGCUGGACUAGAUAUGCCAUUGGCCUGAUCCAGCUGGCUGUUCUUAUGUUCUUACUAAUUAGGGCAUAUGCACUCAUGAACCAGAGUCCACUUCAUCAGGGGCAUGAAGUGUUCUCCUUAGUUGGCAAGCAUAUUUACACAUGGGAGUAGAAGUACUUGCCAGUUAGGAAUUGCACUCGCAUGUGAUGAAUUGGAGUCUAGUUCAUGAAUGUGUAUGCCAUAAUUAGACACUUCAUUGUUUUUGGUACAACAGACUGAAACAGCUAUUCCUCUGGAAAACUGUAACAGGGGAUCUUGAGAGUGCAGUUUUGCUUUGCAAAUUUCAACUACAGGGAUUCUAGACUUCGAGAGUAAUGUAUACAGUACUGUGCAAGAUUGAAGCCAACCCACCUCUACCUGGAAAAAAGAAAGGCGUACGAACCAAUGUUUGUGAAGCUUCCAUGCUAGGUCACUUGCAGACAGUUCUUACUUGCUACAGGUGACCAGGCAUGGGGUUAUUGAUAACUCUGCGUCCGUUGCAUUUCAGUUUAACACUCACUUUACCCUGAAUGUGGUGUAGUAGGAUGUAGGUGCCUGGCUUAAUCCCUCUUAACCCAAACUGGCCUGUGCUUUGCAUGAGCUGGCCAAGGGUUGGGGGGUCAGAGAGAUGGGAAAACCUACGGCUGGGGUUACCUUUUACAAUGGUGACUUCAGUAUACACUGACCCCAACAUGGCAGCUGCUGCGGUGUGUGAGUGAACAGCAUCCACUCUGUUCCAGUUUGCAACCUACCUCACCUUGAUGUUUCCUCUCCUCCUUGAGGCUCUUAAAUUGUGACUUGCAACCUGAAGUCUUUGGUUCUCCCAGGAUUGUUCCUAGUCCUGGUUCAGAGGCUCCUUCUGCCUUGGUCUCCCUUGCUUUAAAACCAAGUUUGCUGAUGUCGCUGUGUUGAUACAUUUGGAAACAGCCAAGCAUCACCAGCAUUUCAUGUGACAAAGCAUGCAUUUCCCUCCUUCGUAGCUCCCAAUCAUGUUUUCUUAUCAGUGCCCCGCCCCAGUCACGGUUGUCUUUCAUUUAGCACUGCCUUUCCUUUGGUGCAUCAAGCCUCAUCAUACGUUGCAGAAAGUCAUACUGAGAUUUCCAAAUGAAGCAUGCAGCUUGAAUAUCCAUGCAAAAUAAGCAAAUUGUAUAUUUGUUUUAAUGUUUUUGAUUGCUGUAAGCCACCCAGAGAGCUUCGGCUAUGGGGUAUACAAGUGCAAUAAAUAAAUAAAUGUAUGUCUCAUCUUGAUAUGUUUUUUCUGAGUGCAGCAUUUCUGGUUCUUGGAUGCAGAAUCUGGAAGGCUGAGAUGCAGUACGUCAGGGAUGGAGAACCUGUGGUCCUCCGGAUGUUUGACUACAACUCCCAUCAGUUCUAGCCAGCAUGGCCACUAGUCAAGAAUGAUGGGUGUUGUGGUCCAGCAGCACCUGGAGGGCCACAGGUUUCCCACCCCUGCUAGACAUUAUAAUUAUUUCUACAAUCAGUGUGUAUGGCAUGUUACAGAGUAACCUAAGCAAAAGAGAUGUCCCUGCCCCUAAGGAACUUACAGUCUAAUUUCCGUCUUCGAAGACUAGCAGUCCAACCCUAUGCAUUCAUACUCGGAAGUAAGUCCUGUUGAUUUCAAUAGUGCUUACUCCCGGUAAGUGUGUUUAGGAUUGCAGGCUGAACCUCAUGUCAAAGACAGAAUUUCUCGUUCUCCUGUUUUCUCUGCUUUGUUCAGAUGGGGUGCCUGAAGCCAACAUUGAGAUGUGCGCUUACGUAUGGGAUCCAGAAAAAAAAACAGACUGCGACAUCCCAAGUUGCAUUAUCUUCUGGAAAAGAAGAUGUUCACAUUUUCAAUCUCCAGAUGAGGAGAAUUCUGGAUCUGGGAACAGAUGUCUAUCCAUGCACCCUUGAGCUUUGAACUUCAUUCACAAAGCAGCAGGCUUGGAUGUUCUUCAAGGUUAAAACAGGGUCCAAGUGAUGAAGCAACACCUCAGACCAAAAGAUGGUGUCUUAUGGCUGCGACAUCAAACUUUCCUGUUAUGGCCAUGAGAGCAAGCCUCCAGGAGCAACAUACUACAAAAUCUGUUGCACCACAAACGUCUGCAAUGGGAAGGCACCCUGGCUCUCCGACUCCGAAACCCCCACCACAGCAAACACCACAGACCUCCAAGAGAGACCUUUUCCUCCUCGCCCUGCUGUGGGAGUCCCUAGAUAUUGUCCCUCUUUCCACUUUGUUGGCCUCCUUUCACAUGAGUUGAGAGCCAUUAAAAGUUUGGUGAGGAAACCAUAAAGAUAAAUAAGCAUGUGCCGAUAUUGUGGACGUCAUAUUUCUAUUAUGUCUUUCACAGUCACAGUCAGUUUGUUUCUAUACCACAUUUGCGAUAGAUACAUUUGUGCUCAAAGUAGACUUUCUGGCAGUCACCUCCCUUUGCCAGAAAAGUUUGUUAGUAAUCGAUCCUGAAAGCCGUCUCCAGGAUGGUGGCAAGAAGUGGAGAGAUGAAAGCAACAGAAUGAGAUGGUUGUCAUAUACUCUUAUUUAAAAAGGCUAAAAACUGGCCAGCACAAACAGUGAGAGGCAAAGGGGCAUCGCUAGUUUGUCUUGGGAUCCCUUUGGAAAGAAGGGCAGGAUAUAAAUUUAUUAAUAAAAAUAA